rnacentral:rRNA from 1 species
GGGGGGGGGGGGGGGGGGGGGGGGGGCGGGGGGGGGGGGGGGGCGGGCGGGGGGCUUGGGGCGGUGGUGGGGGCGGCGGAGGGGUGGGGAACACGUGGAUGACCUGCCUAUUAGCCUGGGGUACCUUCGGGUAACCGGCGCUACUACCGGAUAAUCUAUUGAACGGCAGGGUUCAGUCGUGCAAGACGGUUUUGCGGUCACUUAUAGAUGGCUCCGCGCCGCAUUCGCUUGUUGGUAAGGUCCCGGCUUACCAAGGCAACGUUGCGUAGCUGACCUGUGAGGGUGAUCGGCCACGCUGGAGCUAGGACACGUUCCAGGCUCCUACGGGAGGCAGAAGUAGGGAAUCUUCCGCAAUGGGCGAAAGCCUGGCGAAGCAACGCCGCGUGAGUGAUGAGGGUCUUCGGAUCGUAAAACUCUGUUAUUAGGGAAGAACAAAUGUGUAAGUAACGAUGCACGUCUGGACGGUACCUAAGCAGAAAGCCACGACUAACUACGU